GCUAGAGAGAGUGACAGUGAAUGGCAGCCGCGCGAGAGUCACAGCUGGGCAGCUUGGCCACCCCAGACUGACGGGGUCAGGAGGGGGACCCCCCCCCCACCGCACUUGACACAAAAGAGCCCAGAACCCCGGAGAGAUGAAGGGGGUGGAGCUGGGGGCAUCUGGUUCCCCAGACACUCUCCUCUCCGCUCCCCAAUCCUAAGGGACUGCUGUCCCCUGAAGAGGCUGGGGGAGCGAGGAGACGAGCUCCAGUCUUAUUCCAGGAAGUGGUCUGCGUGGACUGUGGCCACCACCUGCCCCUACUCAUCAGCAGCCCACAAACAUUCACACGACCCCUCCCUCUCGUGCCACCUAACGCCCCUCAGUUGGCGGGCACCUAAGUCCCCACGGGUGGAGGGGGGGUCCAAUGGACACCUUUCCCCCUCUGCCUGCCCAAGUCCUGAGCGGAGGGGGGCAGGCCCGCCGGCUGCUCCGUGCGGGGAAACCCCGCUCUCCCUCGGUCCAACCCCACCGGGGCCCGAGCCCGAGGGGCGCUCGCGCGGCCGCCCCUCCCCCACGCACCCCUCCCCCACGCCGCCCUCCGGCCGCCAGGGUCUCCGCGGUCUCUCGCUCGGCCAGGGAGGGGGCCCUGGCUUCGCCUCGGCCGUUUCCUGCCUACCCCCUCCCCGCCGAGGGUAAAAAAAAAACCCUCCUCCUCCUCCUCCCCCGAAAGCCGCGACCGAGUGGCCCGGUCCGCGCGCGCAGCUCGCGCCCGGCGCUCUCCAGCCGGGGUGGCGGCGGCGGCGGCGGCGGCGGUGGCGGCGGUGGUGGUGGCGGCGGGGGAGGGGUGCAGCGGGAGAGGGGAGGAGGCCUGGCCCCGCGGUCGCGGCCGCCACCGACCGCCCGUACCGCCGCAGGGCCACGGGCCCGAGCCCCGGAUUCCCGCCCCGGAUUCGCCUCGGCUCGGCCGCGCGUAUAUUCGCCUUCCUCCAUGAUCUCCAACAUUAUCCGAUAAAGUAGAAGCAACCGAGGUACCGUGAAAAAGAAAGGAACCGGGACUGAGAAAAAGCAGAGCAAAACCAUGUGCUCUUACUGAUCCAUCAUCAAGUGGCUGUUCUCCCAACAGCAGGACAUCCAUGUGGACUCCCUAAACUUAGCUGUGGGGCUGGAUGCAUUAACUUUACCCUGAUGUAUGAUUGGAUGUUAUAGUAUCAAUACCAAAUGAUAGAUCCCCUUACUCAGCUCCAAAGUACAUACAGCCAGAUCAACAUUUGGCACAGUAGUAAAACGCUUGAGACUAGCCAUAAAUUUAGCCCCAAAGGUUAAAGCUUUAGGAAUUUCUGUCAUGGGUUGCCAUGGUUCUGCCACAGGUUGAGGCAGACCAUUGAGACAGGUGCCAGAAUAUUGGGACCACAUUGUAUUGUCACUUUUGAUAUUUUACUUUUGAGGCUCUUUAAAUGAUUGUUGUGUAUGUGUGUGUGUGUGUAUGCUAUUUCAGGAGUAGGAGUGGGGGGUUGGGAUAUUUGGAGAAGCUGAUGGAAAUUAAAGCACUCUUUUCCCAAAAUAAUACACAUCAACACACACACACAGACACACACACACACACAGAGUAUUCAGAAACAGUUUAGGAUGGCCAGGUUAAUAAUCCACCUUUGACUUGCCAUGAGGGUAGCAACUUUUUCUAUACCAUAAUUUAGUUCUUUAUCAUGUACUAUUCUCAUUUAUCUUUUCGUGUGUGCGUGCUUUAUCCCAGUGAGCAGGCAAGCUUCCUACAAGGAACAUAUGCCUCUUUAUGACCUCCAGUGAUGUGUGCAUGUAGGGACCUCACCUGGGGAAAUCUUGCCAGUUGAGUCCUUUGAAGCUGCUGUGUUUCACCGAGGACAGGCAGCCUUCCCUUCAGCAUUCCAUCCUCCACCCACCACCCUCCAACACAAAACAGAUUACCACAAGAGGACUUGGACCCUGCGUUCAUGUUCUGUUUGCUUUCUAGGUUUUAGGCUAAAGCAUUAUUUACAUACUCCUCAUGCAAAUAUCCACUUGGCUAUUUAGAGAACAAAGCAGUGCCAACUGGAAAGUUUUGGGUUUUUUUUUUUAAGUCUUAAUAAAUGAAUGCAUUCUAUUAUUUAAAUAUUUAUGAUGUCUUUAUUCCUUUAUCACCUCCAUACUUCACCCCAUGAACUUUCAUACCUGUAAUCAGGACCCCCUUUUUGUUCUAUCCCAUGAAUUCUCUAACUGCACUCCUUUCCUGGUAUGUGCUUGUGCCAAAAAAAGCAGGCAUAAGCCUGAUGCUAAUAGAA